AGCGUACACGGUGGAUGCCCUGGCAGUCAGAGGCGAUGAAGGACGUGCUAAUCUGCGAUAAGCGUCGGUAAGGUGAUAUGAACCGUUAUAACCGGCGAUUUCCGAAUGGGGAAACCCAGUGUGUUUCGACACACUAUCAUUAACUGAAUCCAUAGGUUAAUGAGGCGAACCGGGGGAACUGAAACAUCUAAGUACCCCGAGGAAAAGAAAUCAACCGAGAUUCCCCCAGUAGCGGCGAGCGAACGGGGAGCAGCCCAGAGCCUGAAUCAGUGUGUGUGUUAGUGGAAGCGUCUGGAAAGGCGCGCGAUACAGGGUGACAGCCCCGUACACAAAAAUGCACAUGCUGUGAGCUCGAUGAGUAGGGCGGGACACGUGGUAUCCUGUCUGAAUAUGGGGGGACCAUCCUCCAAGGCUAAAUACUCCUGACUGACCGAUAGUGAACCAGUACCGUGAGGGAAAGGCGAAAAGAACCCCGGCGAGGGGAGUGAAAAAGAACCUGAAACCGUGUACGUACAAGCAGUGGGAGCACGCUUAGGCGUGUGACUGCGUACCUUUUGUAUAAUGGGUCAGCGACUUAUAUUCUGUAGCAAGGUUAACCGAAUAGGGGAGCCGAAGGGAAACCGAGUCUUAACUGGGCGUUAAGUUGCAGGGUAUAGACCCGAAACCCGGUGAUCUAGCCAUGGGCAGGUUGAAGGUUGGGUAACACUAACUGGAGGACCGAACCGACUAAUGUUGAAAAAUUAGCGGAUGACUUGUGGCUGGGGGUGAAAGGCCAAUCAAACCGGGAGAUAGCUGGUUCUCCCCGAAAGCUAUUUAGGUAGCGCCUCGUGAAUUCAUCUCCGGGGGUAGAGCACUGUUUCGGCAAGGGGGUCAUCCCGACUUACCAACCCGAUGCAAACUGCGAAUACCGGAGAAUGUUAUCACGGGAGACACACGGCGGGUGCUAACGUCCGUCGUGAAGAGGGAAACAACCCAGACCGCCAGCUAAGGUCCCAAAGUCAUGGUUAAGUGGGAAACGAUGUGGGAAGGCCCAGACAGCCAGGAUGUUGGCUUAGAAGCAGCCAUCAUUUAAAGAAAGCGUAAUAGCUCACUGGUCGAGUCGGCCUGCGCGGAAGAUGUAACGGGGCUAAACCAUGCACCGAAGCUGCGGCAGCGACACUGUGUGUUGUUGGGUAGGGGAGCGUUCUGUAAGCCUGUGAAGGUGUGCUGUGAGGCAUGCUGGAGGUAUCAGAAGUGCGAAUGCUGACAUAAGUAACGAUAAAGCGGGUGAAAAGCCCGCUCGCCGGAAGACCAAGGGUUCCUGUCCAACGUUAAUCGGGGCAGGGUGAGUCGACCCCUAAGGCGAGGCCGAAAGGCGUAGUCGAUGGGAAACAGGUUAAUAUUCCUGUACUUGGUGUUACUGCGAAGGGGGGACGGAGAAGGCUAUGUUGGCCGGGCGACGGUUGUCCCGGUUUAAGCGUGUAGGCUGGUUUUCCAGGCAAAUCCGGAAAAUCAAGGCUGAGGCGUGAUGACGAGGCACUACGGUGCUGAAGCAACAAAUGCCCUGCUUCCAGGAAAAGCCUCUAAGCAUCAGGUAACAUCAAAUCGUACCCCAAACCGACACAGGUGGUCAGGUAGAGAAUACCAAGGCGCUUGAGAGAACUCGGGUGAAGGAACUAGGCAAAAUGGUGCCGUAACUUCGGGAGAAGGCACGCUGAUAUGUAGGUGAAGCGACUUGCUCGUGGAGCUGAAAUCAGUCGAAGAUACCAGCUGGCUGCAACUGUUUAUUAAAAACACAGCACUGUGCAAACACGAAAGUGGACGUAUACGGUGUGACGCCUGCCCGGUGCCGGAAGGUUAAUUGAUGGGGUCAGCGCAAGCGAAGCUCUUGAUCGAAGCCCCGGUAAACGGCGGCCGUAACUAUAACGGUCCUAAGGUAGCGAAAUUCCUUGUCGGGUAAGUUCCGACCUGCACGAAUGGCGUAAUGAUGGCCAGGCUGUCUCCACCCGAGACUCAGUGAAAUUGAACUCGCUGUGAAGAUGCAGUGUACCCGCGGCAAGACGGAAAGACCCCGUGAACCUUUACUAUAGCUUGACACUGAACAUUGAGCCUUGAUGUGUAGGAUAGGUGGGAGGCUUAGAAGUGUGGACGCCAGUCUGCAUGGAGCCGACCUUGAAAUACCACCCUUUAAUGUUUGAUGUUCUAACGUUGACCCGUAAUCCGGGUUGCGGACAGUGUCUGGUGGGUAGUUUGACUGGGGCGGUCUCCUCCUAAAGAGUAACGGAGGAGCACGAAGGUUGGCUAAUCCUGGUCGGACAUCAGGAGGUUAGUGCAAUGGCAUAAGCCAGCUUGACUGCGAGCGUGACGGCGCGAGCAGGUGCGAAAGCAGGUCAUAGUGAUCCGGUGGUUCUGAAUGGAAGGGCCAUCGCUCAACGGAUAAAAGGUACUCCGGGGAUAACAGGCUGAUACCGCCCAAGAGUUCAUAUCGACGGCGGUGUUUGGCACCUCGAUGUCGGCUCAUCACAUCCUGGGGCUGAAGUAGGUCCCAAGGGUAUGGCUGUUCGCCAUUUAAAGUGGUACGCGAGCUGGGUUUAGAACGUCGUGAGACAGUUCGGUCCCUAUCUGCCGUGGGCGCUGGAGAACUGAGGGGGGCUGCUCCUAGUACGAGAGGACCGGAGUGGACGCAUCACUGGUGUUCGGGUUGUCAUGCCAAUGGCACUGCCCGGUAGCUAAAUGCGGAAGAGAUAAGUGCUGAAAGCAUCUAAGCACGAAACUUGCCCCGAGAUGAGUUCU
rnacentral:rRNA from 1 species